rnacentral:tRNA from 1 species
GAUAUAGCUCAGUGAUACAGAACCUGUCUGACAAGCAGGAGGUGCUGAGUUCAAUUCCUAGUAUC